AAUAGUUGGUAUAUAUGUGUAAUAGCUAUAAGAUAUUUUAUGUUAUAGCUAUUACACAUGUUAAUUUAUAUUUUUUUAUAGGUUAAUAAUAAUAUAAUAUAGUAUAAUGAAUAAAUAAUAAUGAGUAAAGAAACAUAGAAAGAGUUACAGAGAGCAAACGUGAGAAAGAAAGAAGGAAAGAAAGAAAGAAAAAGAAAAGGGAAAUUUGAGGAUUAAGGCCCUAAAGUUUAAUUGUAGCAAACGUAGCACCGGAUACGUCAUCAAAGAAGGGAAAAGAGAAAGUGAACGAAGAUAUCGAUUAAAUUCGAUAAAUAGUGGUUUGUAUUUCUAUAAACCGAGCUUAAUCGUUAUUGCUAUAUUUGAUAUUUAUAUUGUAUGAAAAUGUGAAUGAGGUAAGUAUUUUUACCAUAUUGAAA